ensembl:lncRNA
UUUUUUCUACUCGUGAUCAAUACAUUUACUUUUUAAUGUCAUAUUUAGACAGGAUAAAAAUCUAAAGUUAUAAAAAAAGGAAAACCAUCUCGAUAUGCAUAUUAAAUUAUUAGUGCAUGAAACGGUUAAACUGACGCUCACAAAAAACAGGAGAAUUUCCUUAUUUUUGUGCACGCUGGCUAACAGACAGCUGUGAUUGGCCAGCGCCUUUCUGCUGCACAGUUAAAAAAGAAAAACUUUACGCACUUCAGUCAGGAGCGGUAAUACGUGAGGAAUAAAACCCUGUUUCUUGCUGUUGUUUGGGGGGAAAAAUCAACAGCAAGGUGGUCUGAUGAAACCCGACCAGAAGCUGAUUAUUUUAUAUAACAUAUAUAUUUUUUUUUUCUUUCAGUGCGCUGUUAUGGGAAAAUAAUCAACAACCCGCUGGGGUGGUGUGAUGAAGUUUGUUUAUUUUCCUAAAAAAGCACAUCCUGAAGUGUUUUAUUUCUCCAAUUAUACCACAGCAAUUUGCCAGUGCUCACAUUUUGUAUGUAUUUAUGAAUUUAAUUAUAAAAUAAACAGUACAUUUUUUUAUCAUGAAUUCAUAGCUACAUGUAACGUUGUGGAACAUGUACGAAACGAAUGAGUAGUCCAGUUCUCCCUUACGUUAUAGCAGCUAUAGAAUGAGAACUUUUCCGUGUCGGACAAGCUGUUGCCAUAGAAACGAUAAGAAAUAUACAGUAGGUGUAUAUAAAUAUCGAUCAGGCGGUUUCUCUCAGCCGCUCUGCUCCGACGUGUAAUAAACGAUUCAGAGGAAGAGCGACUCGACGCGGCUUUUUCCGCUUCUCUCGUCACUCCCCGUAGAUAUUUGUUAUUUGUAUUACGGAGUAAUAUCAUAAAACAGUACAGAAGCCGAACCGUUAUUUGAUCAGAAACAAAUAAAAUCCCAGAAUCAAAGCCAGAAUCGAGUUUUGUAUCUGUAGAAUCUGUAGAAACUGGAUCGACAGAGUUUCUUCCGACGCAGAGAAAGAAAGGUUCCUGCCGGCGUCUUAAAGGGUUCUUUGGGUUCUUCUCUCUGCCGGAACACCGAACGUUCCGUAUGUGGUUUUCCAAAAAUAGAACCUCUUUAAUAAGAGUGAGUUCGUAUUCAGGAUAUCAGUCACAGUCAUUCCUCAGUUCCCAUACCUGUUGAAACGUUUAUACUGUUUCCUGUUAGCUACCUGAGACACGCAGCAGAUACAGAAGACAUAACGUUUCCAAAGACGUCGUGGAUACGUCCGUUAAACAACUUCAAACAAAAAUCAUAUUUACGACGAGUCAAUAUUUUAAACUAAGGAGUAAAACGCGGUUAUAGGAAAAUAAUCAGUGGCGUGAUUAUUCAAGCCCGAACACAAAGUCGAUCACUUCUCUUAUAUCACGUUAGUUUACCGACGCUCACAAUUUUCUUUCGUUCAUACGUAGUUGCGGAAAGUUCUAGAAACAAGUUCCUCUCCUCACUGACUGUACGUCACAGCCGCUAUGAGCUGCUCUUUUUCUCUCUCUUGAAGUUAAUACGACAAAAAAAAAAGAGAGAAACCACCUAUGCUUACGUCCCAUUUCGCCUAUUUAUAGCAUGAAUAAGCGCGUAGUAUUUUUAGCAAAAGACUGGGACAUACACGUCAUAGCACGUCAUGUAACGGAAGAGAAGGUUGUCGCCUAGUUACGCGUCGCCGUAAACGAACUCCUCGUUGAAUUUCAGCUUGCCUUCAUUCGUAAUUCCUUAUCAAGUUUAUAUUAUACAAUUGAUUUAUUUUUCUACGUUUUAUUUACACUUCUCGGAAAAAAAAACAAAAAAAAAACAUCACAAAGCUCCUCCUCCUCCGCCUGAAAAUAUUCGCUGAGUAAGUGUCCAGUAGACCAUGCUGGGUACCUUUGGGAUACUCAUUUCAACAUACUACGAUUCGGGACGCGCCGAUUCUAAUCUCGGACGCUAUGUAGGACGGAUAGUGGUACCGCAUGAAGUACCACGGAAAUGGUUUUGGACCUCAGUUCCACACGGACGUUCUCGCUGUGGUUGCUGGGACGACGGUUGCUGCGAUGGCCUCGGGACUGCGAUUACCACGUACAGGUCUACACUCGGGUCUCCUUUAGUGAACAGUGGACUAGUUCAACAAACAGACUUCAUAUAAACACCAUAACGCACUUUCUUUUACUCUCACACUAUCCGUCGUGACCCAGAUGAGGACGGGUUCCCUUCCGAGUCCGGUUCCUCUCAAGGUUUCUUCCUCGUAUCAUCUCAGGGAGUUUUUCCCUCACCACCGUCUCCACCGUCUCGCUCAAUAGGGAUAAACUCACACGCUUAAAAUCUCCACCCUGUGUUUAUAUGUUCCUGUUAAGCCGCUUUGAGACGACGACCGUUGUUAAAAGCGCUACACGAAUCAAAUCGAAUUGAAUCGAAUCGAAUCGAAUAGCAGGCGAACUGAGACGCAGCGUUGGAAACGUUACAGCUUUAACUCUGACACUGGAGACUCCUUCCAUAAACGUUAAAUAAACGUCUCCUUACCCUGAACACGAUCGAGCACUUUCUCUUUUUAAAAAAAAAUCUGUUAUCGUCGAGCGUUCGCGCUACACGUCCCUGAGAACGAGCUGUUGCUAUAGAAACGAGCGCAUCAAUACGAACCUCCCGACCAAUCGGAAUCCGUGAUUCGACGGUGCAGUGUUUGAAACGGUGAAAUCUUCUGAAGUGAUAUGGUAGUAACGUGGAGCGAGCGGUGUCGUCAGCGACGGUGCGGUCUGCAGGAGGAGGGAAAUCCUAAACCGCCAGCUCCGCCAACUCCACCGAGAGCACACUGGAGCCGCGUGGCGAGCCCAUUAGUCACCGUAAAGCCAUUAGUUUAUUAGUUUAGAAAAUGCAGGAGACACUUUAGAGUCUGGUGGGAAAUGUCCUUGUUUGUCUCCAGCUUCAGGUUACCGUGACGCCGAUACUACGACAGCCCAGUGGGUGAAGAGUACACACUUUACUCGCCGUGUCUCAGCUCCUUUACUUGAUCCGUUCUGGGGUUUUUUUUUCCCCUGUUCUCUCGAGAUUAAUGCGCGAUAGACGCGGCAUAGAAGAUUUUAUGCCGCAGGAGUGAUGCCUCAGUGAGCAGAAGGUUAUGAGUUUCAAUCCCAGAGAGACACUGUCGGGCUUUUAAGUGUCACCUUUAACCCUUUGUGCUGUGACUGUAUUAUAUUUCACUUAAGCUGCUUUAGAUAGAUGUAUUUUUUAACUGUUGAGUCAGUUUAGUUUAUGAAACAUACUAAAAUGAAACCAAAACCUUUAACUAGCUAACUAACUAGCUAGACGCUAGCUAGGGUCGGCGGUUCGAUUCCCGGCCCACGUGACUCCACAUGCCGAAGUGUCCUUGGGCGAGACACUGAACCCCGAGUCGCUCCCGAUGGCAAGUUAGCGCCUUGCGUGGCAGCUCUGCUACCAUUGGUGUGUGAGUGUGUGUGUGAACGGGUGAAUGAGACACACUGUAAAGCGCUUUGUACAACCUCUAAGGUUGAAAAAGUGCUAUAUAAGUGCUAUAUAAGUUAUUAACUGUUCAGUCAUGGACACUUGAGUGCAAACUGUCCUAAAGCAGUCCUAAAGCCAUCCAGGGAAUGUUUCUAAGAAUUGCUGCCUAUAAAAAUAAGAAUCAAAUAUGUUCACAAGCCAGGAACCACUUUUUCCCCCUUCAGCCUAAUCAUUUUGAUGAGCCUUGUUUGAAUAUUAGGCUCAUUAUAAUACUAAUUAUAUAAUAUAAUUUUUAUAUAUAUGUGGUGUGCACUUAUGUAGCGCUUUUUUAACCUCAGCGGUUCUGCAAAGCAAUUUACACUGUGUCUCAUUCACCCAUACACACACACACACUCACACACUCACACACUAAUGGUAGCAGAGCCGCCAUGUAAGGCGCUAACUUGCCAUCGGGAGCAACUUGGGGUACAGUGUCUUGCCCAAGGACACUUCGGCAUGUGGAGUCAUGCGGAGUCAUGUAGAGGCAUGUGGAGGCAUGUGGAGUCACGUGGAGGCACGUGGAGUCAUGUGGAGUCAUGCGGAGUCAUGUGGAGGCAUGUGGAGGCAUGUGGAGUCAUGUGGAGUCAUGUGGAGACACGUGGGGUCACAGGGAGUCAUGUGGCGUCACGUGGGCCGGGACUCGAACUGCCAACCAUUAUAUAAUAUUAUGCUGAUUACAUACGUCCGCAGCGUUAUUCUCGACUCCGUUUAUAGGAACGAUUUGUUUUCGAGUUAUUCAGGUUCGGAUUGAACCCGUUUCAUUUUGAGUGACAAAUCGGUUAACGCGCACGAUAUUUGAUAAUAAACGUAUAAUAACUCUGAUGAAGUUAUGACCUUUAUUCCUCGUGGUCCGGACGUCCGCUCGACCGCCGGCCGUUCUGCGUAAACAGGCUAUGCGGAUGUCUAAAUUGCGAGAGAAAAAAAAAGUCAAAUUCAUUUUAAACUCCGAUUUAAACUGGCGGUCGUGGGAAAUCACGUCAGAAUGGCGAGAAAUAAAGCCGCGGUUGCCUUUAUUAUUUUUGGGGGAUUAUUUUUCUCCGUGAAGGAAACGGCCGUCCAUAGAUUUCCCCUUCUGUUAAUGAAAUAACAAAUAAAAACGGAAGAAACAAAGAAUUCCAAUCACAGCCAGUUAUGUUUCUCAGACUUUUCUUUUUUUCCGUGUUUUAUUAUUUAAUAUUACUUAGAGCACAUUUUCACUUACCGUUUUUUCUUUCUUUCUUUUUUUAAAUAUUUAUUUUUAGAGUUUUACUGACUUUCUAAUUAUUAUAUUAUAUUAUACUAUAUUCGUUUGUUUUUCUUUUUUACUUACUCAUCUUUUUUUAAUUUAAUUUGAGUUCUUAUGCUAUUUCCUACGACAUUUUUACUGUUUUUAUUUGCGCCUCCUUGUUCUAUUUCUAUUGUUAAUUAAUUUGUAAGCUGUUUAAACUUUUUUUAAAAUUAUAUUACAUUAUAUUACUUAGUAACUAUUUCGUAAUAUUAAUAUGGUAAUUAGAUCAUUUUCCCUCUCAUUUGUUCUCAUCUGCUCUUUCAUACAGUAGAUUAUUAUUAUUAUUAUUAUUAUUAUUAUUAUUAUUAUUAUUAUUAGUUGUUUACUUUUUC